rnacentral:lncRNA from 1 species
GGGCACGGUGCAGCGCCGCCUCCCGUUCGCCUCUGCGCCUGGCCCGGCGACUGCGGGCGCUGCGGUCCACUGGGUCCGCCUCUUCCCGGCAUGGGUUUCUGCCCAGCUCACCCGCUGUCAGCUGGGGUCCUGCUCUGGUGGGAGGAAGAGGCUCAGACGCUUCCCUGCCCUCUCGCCUCAACCACCUCGAGGCAGCGGCUCCCAGGAUGUGCACUUUGACGACUAAAGCUGAGCCGGCGCCGCCACGACCUUGGGCGGGUGGUCGGCCUCUGCCCUGAGCAGGAAGUAGAAAGUCUCAGCAGACCCUUCCUGAGGGCCGAGCAACAGUGUAGUGGCGUAUUCCACAUAGCAAACAGUUUUCUGAAGCUCAGAGGGACACCUUGUAUUGCUGGAUGAUAAAAACAGGAGCAAAGUGAUGAAGUGCUGACAAGGCAACAAUAGAACAUGAGAGAUUCACUGCUGUGUAGGAAGAGAUCUUCGGUGACCAUGUAGCCUGAAGCUCUCAUUUUGUCAUCGAGGGACACCAAAACUCAGAACAGCAGCAGCUCACGCUGCUGAUGCAACACAGGUGAAGAGCACCUUCCCCUCCCCCACCUGUGGGCUGAUUCCCACCACGUGGAUCCCAAGGCCAUCCCAGGAACUCUUUGGAGGGGAGAAGCCCAGUGGAAACUGUCAGGCCUCUGAGCACAAGCCAAGCCAUCGCAUCCCCUGUGACUUGCACGUAUAUGCCCAGAUGGCCUGAAGUAACUGAAGAAUCACAAAAGAAGUGAAAAGGCCCUGCCCCACCUUAACUGAUGACAUUCCACCAUUGUGAUUUGUUCCUGCCCCACCUUCACUGAGUGAUUAACCCUGUGAAUUUCCUUCUCCUGGCUCAGAAGCUCCCCCACUGAGCACCUUGUGACCCCCGCCCCUGCCCACCAGAGAACAACCCCCUUUGACUGUAAUUUUCCAUUACCUUCCCAAAUCCUAUAAAACGGCCCCACCCCUAUCUCCCUUCGCUGACUCUCUUUUCGGACUCAGCCCGCCUGCACCCAGGUGAAAUAAACAGCCAUGUUGCUCACA